CCCAUCGCCGUGGAUCUGAACGCUCGCCCCGACCUUUCUCUCAGCCCGCUAAAACCGGGGCUCUUAGUGCGAGAUUGGGAAGCAAAGUCAGCCGGCUCUCUCUUCAGCUACAUCGACAUCGACACACGCAAACCAAACCGGUGAAGGCAUGGAGGGGAGAUACCGGAAGUAUGCAGCCAGUCAGAUUGUGAUUAUAGCCUCGUAACCAGGGGCUGGAGAUAUAAAAUGCAAUGCCCGUCUUUUCAAAGAUCCCUUGCAGAGCUAAUAUCAAAGCACAUAGAAUCAGCUGUAGGAAAAAUAGGUCUAAGGCAUGACAGAACAAUAAUGUUAUUUAAUUGCUUAUCAUUACUAUUGAAACACCAAAGUAUGUUGUCUAUUAUCGAAGCAUUAUAUAUAGUAUUCCAUAACCGGAAGGGGCAGUGCAACCCAUAGUGCACCCAAUGUAUAAGCUUAUACGUUUUGUAACAGUUAAAGUACA